rnacentral:misc_RNA from 1 species
UACAUAUUGGAUUUAUUAAAAUAAAUUGUUUCUACAAACUAGCUAGGAAUUGUUCAUUUAAAUAACUUAAUUCUUGUAACUCAAGAUGGUCAAUGGUUUUACUUGGCAUAGAAUGAUGUGAUCGCUUCAAGAAAUGUAUAUAUAGAAUUGUAAACUCUAGGAUAGCUUUCAAAAAUACUUUACUUAUAAGGAAAAUAUUACUUUGAAGAUCGGCUUAUUUGCCAGCUAUUUUAUAGCCACAUGCUCGGCACUGAUCGUGGAAAAUUCACCACGCUGUGGCGGCGUCUAGUGAAAUGGCGAAAAGCGGCAGCAUUUGAGGUGACAAAGUGCCAACUGGUGUGCCGCCGCUGCCGCAGCUACCGUCGCUGCCGGCGUCGCAGUCGCCGCUCUUGCUCGCUUUCGGUUCGCUCGCCCGCCGCUCAGUUGCCUUGUGCGGUUGGAUGCUGCCGCCAGCAAAAGAACCGAAAAGAAUAUAGAAUGGGUAUAGCGGAAAAUCUGGCGGAAAAUUCUAGCCCCAAAAAUGAAUAGAAUAAUUAAUAAAAUAACGCACGGUGCGCGCGUGUCGCUAUAAUUAAAAAGUGCCAGCAAAGUGCAACAAAUGUAUAAAAACGUAUAAUAGCGUAUAAUAACAAGCCGAACCCAAAAACAGAAUCUCUGGGCAAUCUUUUUGCGCCAUAAUGACAGCCGCAGACACGAGAACGGACAGCAGCAGCAGUGGAGGCACCAACCGAAUCGGAUUCGGAAUCGGAUUCAGAAUCAGAAACAGAGUCACCAAAAUCGAAAUCCGCAUCGGAAUCGGAAUGGCGAGAUUGGGAGCUGAAUGCAAAUAAGCAACUGAAAAAAAAAAGAAAAA